rnacentral:lncRNA from 1 species
AAUACAGGAUGCCUACUGUCCCAUGCUCACGAACUCUGUCCCCUCGCUUGUUCUCUGUUCUUUGCUCAAGUGGUAGAGAUCUAAGCAGCUCAUUAUAAAGAAGGGAAACGACAUUAAGGCAGAGAGGGCAAAGUCAAACUCAAACUCAUUGAACUUGAGAAAUUAAAAUCACGGCAUGGUGGCUGGUUUUCCUUUUCUCAUUCUUCACAGACAGUGGGAGGAUAUGACUCUGGAAAAUUAACAUCAAGUGCUUGUGAGGAAGACGGGCCUUCCCACGAAGAGCUGAAUACCCACCCCAUGCCUGCAGUUGGGGAUGUUUUAUCAUUGGGUCACAACUACCAGCGUGUGAGGCGCGGAUGAUAUGGAAUCACUUCAAGUUUUGUAUUAGGAACAAAACAAAGCAACACAACCCUUGAAGCUGGCCUGUCCCCAGGGAUACAUAUUCUUCAAAGAAAUCCCCAAUACCAACCACUGUAGCAAGAAGUCUAUGUUACAUGGAUGGGUACUAUGUCUGUCCAAGGGGAUUCAUUGCUAGAGAAAUAAGAUCCCAUGUGUUUCUCCCUGCCCCCAGAUCUCCCGCUGGCCUUCACCAGCUUCCAGUAGUGCCCAGCUGAU